AUGAGGUAUUUGUCUAAACAACGGACUUGUACCGACCUUGUUAAUGCCUACCGGUGCGACUGUGUUUCUGGAUUUAAUGGAACAAAUUGUGAAAAUAAUAUCGACGAAUGUGAAACGCAGCCAUGUCAAAACAGCGGCACUUGUAUAGAUCUGAUUAAUGAUUAUCAGUGUAAUUGCACAGCCGGGUUUGAUGGAACAAACUGCACAAAUGAUAUCAAUGACUGCCAAGCAGAGCCUUGUCAAAACAAUGGAACUUGUACAGACCUUGUCAACGACUACCAAUGUGACUGUGUUGCAGGAUUCAAUGGAACAAAUUGUGAAAACAAUAUUGACGAGUGCUCCCAAGGUCCCUGUGAAAACAACGGAACUUGUACAGACCUGGUCAACGAAUACUAUUGCGUUUGUGCUCCUGGAUUCAACGGAACAAAUUGUGAAAACAUGAUCAAUGAGUGCUUGCCAGGUAUUUGUCUAAACAACGGGACUUGUACCGACCUUGUUAAUGCCUACCGGUGCGACUGUGUUUCUGGAUUUAAUGGAACAAAUUGUGAAAAUAAUAUCGACGAAUGUGAAACGCAGCCAUGUCAAAACAGCGGCACUUGUAUAGAUCUGAUUAAUGAUUAUCAGUGUAAUUGCACAGCCGGGUUUGAUGGAACAAACUGCACAAAUGAUAUCGACGAAUGUGAAACGCAGCCGUGUCAAAACAACGGAACAUGUAUAGAUCUGAUUAAUGAUUAUCAAUGUAAUUGCACAGCCGGGUUUGAUGGAACAAACUGCACAAAUGAUAUCAAUGACUGCCAAGCAGAGCCUUGUCAAAACAAUGGAACUUGUACAGACCUUGUCAACGACUACCAAUGUGACUGUGUUGCAGGAUUCAAUGGAACAAAUUGUGAAAACAAUAUUGACGAGUGCUCCCAAGGUCCCUGUCAAAACAACGGAACUUGUACAGACCUGGUCAACGAAUACUAUUGCGUUUGUGCUCCUGGAUUCAACGGAACAAAUUGUGAAAACAUGAUCAAUGAGUGCUUGCCAGGUAUUUGUCUAAACAACGGGACUUGUACCGACCUUGUUAAUGCCUACCGGUGCGACUGUGUUUCUGGAUUUAAUGGAACAAAUUGUGAAAAUAAUAUCGACGAAUGUGAAACGCAGCCGUGUCAAAACAACGGAACAUGUAUAGAUCUGAUUAAUGAUUAUCAAUGUAAUUGCACAGCCGGGUUUGAUGGAACAAAUUGCACAAAUGUGAUCAAUGAGUGCUUGCCAGGUCUCUGUCAAAACAACGCAACUUGUACAGACGAUGUCAAUGGCUACCAGUGCGACUGUGUUGCGGGAUUCAAUGGAACAAAUUGUGAAAACAAUAUUGAUGACUGCUCUCCAGAUCCCUGUCAAAACAACGGAACCUGUACAGACGAUGUGAAUGACUACCACUGCAAUUGCGUUCCUGGAUUUAAUGGAACAAACUGUGAAAACGUGAUCAAUGAGUGCUUGCCAGGUCUCUGUCAAAACAACGCAACUUGUACAGACGAUGUCAAUGGCUACCAGUGCGACUGUGUUGCGGGAUUCAAUGGAACAAAUUGUGAAAACAAUAUUGAUGACUGCUCUCCAGAUCCCUGUCAAAACAACGGAACCUGUACAGACGAUGUGAAUGACUACCACUGCAAUUGCGUUCCUGGAUUUAAUGGAACAAACUGUGAAAACGUGAUCAAUGAGUGCUUGCCAGGUCUCUGUCAAAACAACGCAACUUGUACAGACGAUGUCAAUGGCUACCAGUGCGACUGUGUUGCGGGAUUCAAUGGAACAAAUUGUGAAAACAAUAUUGAUGACUGCUCUCCAGAUCCCUGUCAAAACAACGGAACCUGUACAGACGAUGUGAAUGACUACCACUGCAAUUGCGUUCCUGGAUUUAAUGGAACAAACUGUGAAAACGUGAUCAAUGAGUGCUUGCCAGGUCUCUGUCAAAACAACGCAACUUGUACAGACGAUGUCAAUGGCUACCAGUGCGACUGUGUUGCGGGAUUCAAUGGAACAAAUUGUGAAAACAAUAUUGAUGACUGCUCUCCAGAUCCCUGUCAAAACAACGGAACCUGUACAGACGAUGUGAACGACUACCACUGCAAUUGCGUUCCUGGAUUUAAUGGAACAAACUGUGAAAACGUGAUCAAUGAGUGCUUGCCAGGUCUCUGUCAAAACAACGCAACUUGUACAGACGAUGUCAAUGGCUACCAGUGCGACUGUGUUGCGGGAUUCAAUGGAACAAAUUGUGAAAACAAUAUUGAUGACUGCUCUCCAGAUCCCUGUCAAAACAACGGAACCUGUACAGACGAUGUGAACGACUACCACUGCAAUUGCGUUCCUGGAUUUAAUGGAACAAACUGUGAAAACGUGAUCAAUGAGUGCUUGCCAGGUCUCUGUCAAAACAACGCAACUUGUACAGACGAUGUCAAUGGCUACCAGUGCGACUGUGUUGCGGGAUUCAAUGGAACAAAUUGUGAAAACAAUAUUGAUGACUGCUCUCCAGAUCCCUGUCAAAACAACGGAACCUGUACAGACGAUGUGAACGACUACCACUGCAAUUGCGUUCCUGGAUUUAAUGGAACAAACUGUGAAAACGUGAUCAAUGAGUGCUUGCCAGGUCUCUGUCAAAACAACGCAACUUGUACAGACGAUGUCAAUGGCUACCAGUGCGACUGUGUUGCGGGAUUCAAUGGAACAAAUUGUGAAAACAAUAUUGAUGACUGCUCUCCAGAUCCCUGUCAAAACAACGGAACCUGUACAGACGAUGUGAACGACUACCACUGCAAUUGCGUUCCUGGAUUUAAUGGAACAAACUGUGAAAACGUGAUCAAUGAGUGCUUGCCAGGUCUCUGUCAAAACAACGCAACUUGUACAGACGAUGUCAAUGGCUACCAGUGCGACUGUGUUGCGGGAUUCAAUGGAACAAAUUGUGAAAACAAUAUUGAUGACUGCUCUCCAGAUCCCUGUCAAAACAACGGAACCUGUACAGACGAUGUGAACGACUACCACUGCAAUUGCGUUCCUGGAUUUAAUGGAACAAACUGUGAAAACGUGAUCAAUGAGUGCUUGCCAGGUCUCUGUCAAAACAACGCAACUUGUACAGACGAUGUCAAUGGCUACCAGUGCGACUGUGUUGCGGGAUUCAAUGGAACAAAUUGUGAAAACAAUAUUGAUGACUGCUCUCCAGAUCCCUGUCAAAACAACGGAACCUGUACAGACGAUGUGAACGACUACCACUGCAAUUGCGUUCCUGGAUUUAAUGGAACAAACUGUGAAAACGUGAUCAAUGAGUGCUUGCCAGGUCUCUGUCAAAACAACGCAACUUGUACAGACGAUGUCAAUGGCUACCAGUGCGACUGUGUUGCGGGAUUCAAUGGAACAAAUUGUGAAAACAAUAUUGAUGACUGCUCUCCAGAUCCCUGUCAAAACAACGGAACCUGUACAGACGAUGUGAACGACUACCACUGCAAUUGCGUUCCUGGAUUUAAUGGAACAAACUGUGAAAACGUGAUCAAUGAGUGCUUGCCAGGUCUCUGUCAAAACAACGCAACUUGUACAGACAAUGUCAAUGGCUACCAGUGCGACUGUGUUGCCGGAUUCAAUGGAACAAAUUGUGAAAACAAUAUUGAUGACUGCUCUUCAGAUCCCUGUCAAAACAACGGAACCUGUACAGACGAUGUCAACGACUACCACUGCAAUUGCGUUCCUGGAUUUAAUGGAACAAACUGUGAAAACGUGAUCAAUGAGUGCUUGCCAGGUCUCUGUCAAAACAACGCAACUUGUACAGACAAUGUCAAUGGCUACCAGUGCGACUGUGUUGCCGGAUUCAAUGGAACAAAUUGUGAAAACAAUAUUGAUGACUGCUCUCCAGAUCCCUGUCAAAACAACGGAACCUGUACAGACGAUGUCAACGACUACCACUGCAAUUGCGUUCCUGGAUUUAAUGGAACAAACUGUGGAAACGAUAUCAAUGACUGCCAGCCAGAACCUUGUCAAAACAAUGGAACCUGUACAGACCUGGUCAACGACUACCAAUGUGGUUGUGUUGCAGGAUACAAUGGAACAAAUUGUGAAAAUAAUAUUGAUGACUGCUCCCAAGAUCCCUGUCAAAACAACGCAACUUGUACAGACAAUGUCAAUGGCUACCAGUGCGACUGUGUUGCGGGAUUUAAUGGAACAAAUUGUGAAAACAAUAUUGAUGACUGCUUCCAAGAUCCCUGUCAAAACAACGGAACCUGUAUAGACAAGGUCAACCACUUCCAAUGCGAAUGUGUUCCUGGAUACAAUGGAACAACGUGUGAAAACAUGAUCAAUGAGUGCUUGCCAGGUCUCUGUCAAAACAACGCAACUUGUACAGACAAUGUCAAUGGCUACCAGUGCGACUGUGUUGCCGGAUUCAAUGGAACAAAUUGUGAAAACAAUAUUGAUGACUGCUCUCCAGAUCCCUGUCAAAACAACGGAACCUGUACAGACGAUGUCAACGACUACCACUGCAAUUGCGUUCCUGGAUUUAAUGGAACAAACUGUGAAAACGAUAUCAAUGACUGCCAGCCAGAACCUUGUCAAAACAAUGGAACCUGUACAGACCUGGUCAACGACUACCAAUGUGGUUGUGUUGCAGGAUACAAUGGAACAAAUUGUGAAAAUAAUAUUGAUGACUGCUCCCAAAAUCCCUGUCAAAACAACGGAACCUGUACAGACGAUGUCAAUGGCUACCAGUGCGACUGUGUUGCGGGAUUUAAUGAAACAAAUUGUGAAAACAAUAUUGAUGACUGCUUCCAAGAUCCCUGUCAAAACAACGGAACCUGUAUAGACAAGGUCAACCACUUCAAAUGCGAAUGUGUUCCUGGAUACAAUGGAACAACGUGUGAAAACAUGAUCAAUGAGUGCUUGCCAGGUCUCUGUCAAAACAACGCAACUUGUACAGACAAUGUCAAUGGCUACCAGUGCGACUGUGUUGCCGGAUUCAAUGGAACAAAUUGUGAAAACAAUAUUGAUGACUGCUCUCCAGAUCCCUGUCAAAACAACGGAACCUGUACAGACGAUGUCAACGACUACCACUGCAAUUGCGUUCCUGGAUUUAAUGGAACAAACUGUGAAAACGAUAUCAAUGACUGCCAGCCAGAACCUUGUCAAAACAAUGGAACCUGUACAGACCUGGUCAACGACUACCAAUGUGGUUGUGUUGCAGGAUACAAUGGAACAAAUUGUGAAAAUAAUAUUGAUGACUGCUCCCAAAAUCCCUGUCAAAACAACGGAACCUGUACAGACGAUGUCAAUGGCUACCAGUGCGACUGUGUUGCGGGAUUUAAUGAAACAAAUUGUGAAAACAAUAUUGAUGACUGCUUCCAAGAUCCCUGUCAAAACAACGGAACCUGUAUAGACAAGGUCAACCACUUCAAAUGCGAAUGUGUUCCUGGAUACAAUGGAACAACGUGUGAAAACAUGAUCAAUGAGUGCUUGCCAGGUCUCUGUCAAAACAACGCAACUUGUACAGACAAUGUCAAUGGCUACCAGUGCGACUGUGUUGCCGGAUUCAAUGGAACAAAUUGUGAAAACAAUAUUGAUGACUGCUCUCCAGAUCCCUGUCAAAACAACGGAACCUGUACAGACGAUGUCAACGACUACCACUGCAAUUGCGUUCCUGGAUUUAAUGGAACAAACUGUGAAAACGAUAUCAAUGACUGCCAGCCAGAACCUUGUCAAAACAAUGGAACCUGUACAGACCUGGUCAACGACUACCAAUGUGGUUGUGUUGCAGGAUACAAUGGAACAAAUUGUGAAAAUAAUAUUGAUGACUGCUCCCAAAAUCCCUGUCAAAACAACGGAACCUGUACAGACGAUGUCAAUGGCUACCAGUGCGACUGUGUUGCGGGAUUUAAUGGAACAAAUUGUGAAAACAAUAUUGAUGACUGCUUCCAAGAUCCCUGUCAAAACAACGGAACCUGUAUAGACAAGGUCAACCACUUCAAAUGCGAAUGUGUUCCUGGAUACAAUGGAACAACGUGUGAAAACAUGAUCAAUGAGUGCUUGCCAGGUCUCUGUCAAAACAACGCAACUUGUACAGACAAUGUCAAUGGCUACCAGUGCGACUGUGUUGCCGGAUUCAAUGGAACAAAUUGUGAAAACAAUAUUGAUGACUGCUCUCCAGAUCCCUGUCAAAACAACGGAACCUGUACAGACGAUGUCAACGACUACCACUGCAAUUGCGUUCCUGGAUUUAAUGGAACAAACUGUGAAAACGAUAUCAAUGACUGCCAGCCAGAACCUUGUCAAAACAAUGGAACCUGUACAGACCUGGUCAACGACUACCAAUGUGGCUGUGUUGCAGGAUACAAUGGAACAAAUUGUGAAAAUAAUAUUGAUGACUGCUCCCAAAAUCCCUGUCAAAACAACGGAACCUGUACAGACGAUGUCAAUGGCUACCAGUGCGACUGUGUUGCGGGAUUUAAUGGAACAAAUUGUGAAAACAAUAUUGAUGACUGCUCUCAAGAUCCCUGUCAAAACAACGGAACCUGUAUAGACCAGGUCAACCACUUCCAGUGCGAAUGUGUUCCUGGAUACAAUGGAACAACGUGUGAAAACAUAAUGGAAACAGAAAUUGAAACAACUACAACUGUUGAGCCAUUAUCAUUGGAACCACAAAUAAAUGAGCCACUUGCCUUUGGAGCAGAAGCUAGUGAUUCUGUUUUGACUGGUGAUGAUGUCACCUCUCCAGCAUUAAUUUCGCCAACAUUGCUUCAGUUCGGAAAUGGUUUAUUAGAUGGCUUUAAUGAAGUUUACAUUGGAACAAACGGUAUCAUUGGAUUGGGAGACAGAUAUAAUAGUUUUUCAAUUGAAGAGAUGGAUUCGAUAAAUUUGAUGGAGCGUAAAAUUAUUUGUCCAUACUGGUUCGACCUAAUGACUCAUGGAAGUGAUUCAGCAGUAUACUACAAUGUUUACAAAAGUGAAAACAAAAAUGAUGCGGGGAUUUUGAGCAAAGUUGACAAAAUAAUCCAUGACACAUUUAAGGAUUUUAAAACGUUUCGCUCGUCGAUUGUCUUCAAGGCAACAUGGAGCAAUAUGGCAUUUUAUAUUGACAAUUCAAAGAGAGUUUCAUUCCAAAUACUUAUAGUUUCGGAUGGCCAAAAUUUAUUUAGCGUAACAAACUAUAUGAACAUCAAUAUUGAAGUUCUACAAGGAAGUCACGUCUCAAUUGGCCACAGAUACAAAGCGUUCAGGGGCAAAAAUACAUAUUCGUGGAAAAAUGCUGCAUUUAGAAUGUCAUCUGUUCCCGGAAAUACUAGAUAUAACGGAUUCUGGGUUCAGAAAUUGACAGAUGAUAACAUUGAGAUUAAUCCACUCGAGAAAGAGUGCUACAGCUGGUAUUCAAGACAAACCUUGUCUAGAAGACCAAAUGCAUGGUGGUUAACAUGUCCAUGUACUGGUACAGCCAUGAGAUUUUUCGGGUUCCAGUUUGCUUUAUAUCGGACUGAGCCAGGCAUGGCAUGCUAUGUUUCGCUUACAUUCGGAACCACCUUGGAGUGUUGUUACUCAGUGUUCGGAUUCUUCUCAUUAGGCCCAUUAAUAAGGCGAAUUCCUGAUGCGGGUUCUACCCUUUCGGCAAAUCCGUUUUUCCAACCUGCAGACUAUUAUAUAGAGAACCAGAGACCAAAAGAGGCCUGCUGUGCAUCUGGACACUGCAAUUGGUAUUACACCUAUAGACCUAGGCCCUUUUUCUGUUCAAGGUUUAUCCCAGUGAGAACAGCCUGGUUCUGGGGAGAUCCGCAUAUCAACACUUUAGACGGUGGACAAUACACUUUUAAUGGUUACGGUGAAUACACAAUGAUGAAAAUAAACCACAAUGGCACACAGUUUGAACUCCAAGCCCGAACAGAUUUAGCAACUACUGCCAAUGGCACAACAAUAAACGCGACAAUAUUCAGUGCUUUCGUAGCCAAGGAUCAUACAGGUUCAAUCGUUCAAGUGGAAAUGUCAAGAAACAGAGAUAAGAUGUACGUGCGUGCAAAUGGUAGAGAUGUAACAACAGAAAUAGACAAUAAUCCUGAUUUUGUGUUAAGAACAAUCAACAUGACAUUGUCCAAAGAUAAUGGAACAGUGGUGGCAUCAUUUGUUCAAAGCGCAAUUACCAUCAAAAUUAGUUUGGGUGUCCGAUUUCUUACAUCGGAAACGAUGGUAGAUGAAAGAUAUAAUGGCAAAGUGGUAGGAUUGAUGGGAAAUUUCGAUGGAAAUUCCACCAAUGAUUUUGUUCUUCCUAAUAACACUAUACUGUAUGGUAGUGUUGUAAAUUCCGAACGAAAAAUAUACGAAAAUUUUGGACAACUUUGGUCGAUUAACAGCAACACAUCGUACUUUCACUAUGAUACUGGGCUGUCUCAUGCUAAUUACACGCACCCAGAAUUCGUGCCAUUCUACAUCGACGAACAACCACAGGACAAAGUCAACAGAUCCAGAGAAGUAUGUGGUGGUGCCAGUGCCUCACAGGCCUGUAUAUUUGAUUACCUUGCUACAGGUGACGAAUCCUUGGCCAAAUCUUCAGGGGAUGAUGCAGAGACUUCUGCACGUGAUACAGCAACUUUAGAAAAUGAGUCUCCGCAGAUCAGUGGUGACUCGCAGAUCAAUGCACAAGUUAACCGAUCUGUGGAACUUAAAUUCAAUGCUACUGAUGAUGGGACUUUCGUAUACAGGAUAAUUCAGCAACCUCCAGGUUUCUCCUUUGAUAAUAAUAGUGGUAUAGCUAGAUGGACACCCCAAGAUGACAGUGUUACAAACAUUAGCAUUACUGUUGUGGAUGAUAAAGGAGAAGAGGCGGCUCCCAUAGACGUGGCUAUUGUCCUCUGUUCUGGUUGUAAUGACCACGGGACAUGUGAUUACAACACCACACGGACGUCUAACAGUGAUAUGUUUAAAUACGCGGCCUGUAACUGUACCAUUGGAUACUCGGGACGGGACUGUGAGAACGAUACCGAUGGCUGUGCUGCAAAUCCAUGUGCCUUAGGUAGAACAUGUGUAGAUAUAAAGGCUGAAGAUGAAGCAGUAUUAGGGCGAGGAUACAAUUGUUCCGAUUGUCCUCCGGGGUAUAACAUAGUGGAUGAAAAAUGUGAAGAUAUAAAUGAAUGCAAUAGUACAACAUCAAAUACCUGCGCCGAUGCGACGGAAUACUGUGUUAAUACUGAAGGCAGUUAUGAAUGCAACUGUAAUCCAGGAUUUAGGAAAGUUGGAAGCAAUUGUCAAGAUAUCGAUGAAUGUACGGAGAGUACCUCUGGGUGUGAACAGCUCUGUACAAACAGUGCAGGGUCUUUUCAAUGCUCUUGUAUCAGCGGGUAUACAUUAAACAGUGACAACAAAACAUGCACAGGAACAAGUAAUUGUCCUGGAUUGAAUUGUGAAUAUGCCUGUAAUAACGAUUCUGACGCAAGGCCCGUAUGCAUAUGCAAGACUGGAUAUGAAUUAAAAGAUAGCGAGAAUUGUACAGAUAUUGAUGAGUGCGAGGUGGGAGGAGUCUGUUCACAAGGUUGUCAAAACCUUAAUGGGUCCUACAUAUGCUCUUGUUAUGCUGGUUAUUCAUUAAACGACGAUAGAACGACUUGUUCAGCAUGUGAGCCUCCAAACUAUGGCGUGAAUUGCCAAAGCAUAUGCAAUUGUGGUCAAGGUAUGGAGAGGUGUGAUCCAGUCACGGGAUGCGUGUGUAAGUCUGGUUGGACCGGAAGUAAUUGUGAUACGGACAUCAAUGAAUGUACCACAAACCCGACUAUUUGCGGAAGUGAUAAAAUAUGCCAAAAUCUGGAUGGAUCACAUGCUUGUAACUGUAGAAAUGGCUAUGAAAAAAAUUCCAACGACAACUGUAUUGAUAUAAAUGAAUGUGGAAUAGUCACGUCGAAUAAUUGUUCAGCUUCAACUUCUAUCUGUAAAAAUAAAGAUGGGGGAUACGUUUGCGAGUGCAAAUCUGGAUUCACACAGAAAAACUUGUAUGAAUGUGAAGAUCUUAACGAGUGUACAGCCGGAAUAGAUGGUUGCAGCCAGAAAUGUUUAAACGUGGACGGAGGCUACAAUUGUGAAUGUGAAUUCGGGUAUACGUUAGGAGACGAUAGGAAAACGUGCAUUAAAGUCCAAGACAUAUGCUCAUUGUUUCCUCAACUUAACUGUACCUAUGGAUGUAAAGCAAACGGAACCCGGGGAUCGUGCUUUUGUCCCGCUGGCUUUUUGCUGAAUGCACAGAAUCACAGAUCUUGCAUCGAUAUCGAUGAAUGUAAUGACGCCAGUUUAAAUCAAUGUACUUUUCCAAACCUGUGCGUGAAUGUAGAUGGGUCAUAUAACUGCUCAUGUCCUGAUUAUCAUGUUCUUGAAAACGAUGGACGAACUUGUAAAGAGUGUGACGGGUUUUCGUAUGGAAAGACAUGCGAAAAUGUCUGCAACUGUGGAAUUGGAUCCUCUAGAUGUGACAAAGAGAAGGGUUGUGUCUGUUUAUCCGGCUGGACAGGAGUAGAAUGUGAUCUCGAUAUUGAUGAGUGUGCAGCUUCUACAAACCCAUGUACUUCUAAUCACCAAGUUUGCCAAAACUCCCCUGGAUCUUAUAAAUGCAUUUGCGAAACAGGGUUUAUGAACGAAUCAGGAAUAUGUAAAGAUAUCAAUGAAUGCGAAAAUUCACCAUGCAGCCAAAUUUGUACGAACACCGAGGGGAGUUACUCGUGUGGUUGUAACGAGGGAUUCCUUCUGUCCAAUACCUCAGAAUGUACGGACUAUGACGAGUGUCUGGCACCAGUCAGCCCCUGUGAUCAGCAAUGCACCAACACAAUAGGAAGUUACAAAUGCUCCUGCAACGUCGGAUUCAUUCUAAAUAUUACUUCUAGAACAACUUGCUAUGCAAAAACUGAGUGCACGAACACAGCACUCAACUGUUCGCAAAAAUGUGGAGUAAAACCAGGGGGAGUAGAAUACUGUUUUUGCAACGUUGGAUAUUCUUUAAAUGCAAACCAAAUGUCAUGUGAUGAUAUCGAUGAUUGCCAACCUAACCCAUGUUCUCAAAACUGCAAUCAAAAUGCACCUGGACAGGGAUAUAAUUGCUCUUGUGCUCCAGGAAAGAAACUAGACAUUGAUCAGAGAUCUUGUAUAGACUGUGAAAACGGAUAUUUUGGAGACAAAUGUAGCUUUAACUGCGCAUGCAACGUCGAAAACACGAUUGCGUGUGAUAAAGUAUCAGGAAACUGCACCUGUAAACCGGGUUGGGAAGGAAUAUACUGUACAGAGGAUAUUGACGAAUGUAAAAAUACGUCUAUUUGUCCUGAACAUUCGGUGUGUCAAAACACAAAUGGUUCCUUUUCUUGUCUUUGUGAUUCAGGAUAUUCUCAAGCUGCUGGAAAAUGCGUUGAGUGUGGUUCAAAUACUUAUGGUCAAAAUUGUGCAAGUCGGUGUUCGUGUGAUUUCUCAAACACACAGUUAUGUGACAAGAAAAAUGGAACUUGCUAUUGUAAAGAGGGAUGGCAAGGUGCUAGCUGUUCAGAAGACGUUCUAGAGUGCGCUAACACGACCAUCUGUGGUUCAAACGCUCGGUGCUCGGAGACUAACGGAUCUUACAUAUGUAAUUGCGAUGUUGGAUAUAAAAAGGAUGCGUUUGGGUCUUGUGUCGAUGUUGAUGAAUGUUCACUUGGGUCUGAUACUUGCCACGAAAAUGCCGACUGUACUAAUACUGUAGGAAAUUUUACGUGUUCUUGUAAAACUGGAUUCAGUGGGGAUGGUUAUUCUUGCACAGCAUGUGAUAGUACACAUUAUGGUGUUGGCUGUUCCUCUCCGUGCACGUGUAUUGAGGAUAAUACAGUGGACUGUAAUGACGUCACUGGACAGUGUAAUUGUAAGACAACAUGGAAUGGAACAAACUGUGACGUAGAUGUCAAUGAAUGUGAUCUAGGGACAAAUGACUGCAACUCUACCAUCGAGAUCUGUGUUAACCGCGAUGACGGGUGGAAUUGUUCCUGUCUACAUGGAUCAACAAAUGGAGUUUGUAAUGAAAUGACCACAUCAACGAUGACAGAGAGUACAUACGAAAGUACCCAGACAACAGUCCAAAGCACGGUCGAAUCAUCAAAGAGUACUGAAGCUAGUCCAACAACAACAGGAGGAAGUGAAAGCACUACAAAAGAAAUGACCACAUCAACGAUGACAGAGAGUACAUACGAAAGUACCCAGACAACAGUCCAAAGCACGGUUGAAUCAUCAAAGAGUACUGAAGCUAGUCCAACAACAACAGGAGGAAGUGAAAGCACUACACAAGACAUAACAACAACAACAGUUACAGAUAGUACAUAUGAAAGUACCCAAACAACAGUCCAAAGCACUGUCGCAUCAUCACAAAGUACUGAACCUAGUCCAACUACCACAGCAGGAAGUGAGAGCACUACUAAAGAGAAAGUAACCGCAUACGUCCCUCAAACUGCUGAGGUUAAACUUGGAGUAGUUCUGACCUUCAGAAAGAAUAUAUCACUUACUAAUUAUGACCAAGUAGCGAAAACCAUGGAAUCAUCGCUAACGAAUUUCUACAAAAGCAGGAUUACUGGAUUCAUCAAAGUACUCAUCCUUGUGAUAAGGAGAGGAAGUACAAUUGUUGAACACGAAGUUAUCGCGAACAAAACAGAAAAGGCAAACCAGGAUCUUGUUACAUCCAUGUUUAUUUUGUCUAAAAGCAGCAUAAAAUACGAAAAUGAGAACCUAACAACUUCGUCUGUGUUAGUAAAAGAUGACACUGGAAGGAAACUAGUUAUUACAAAUACUUCCUCAAAAUGCGAUGUAUAUGUAAUCAGCAAUCCAUGUGGGGAAAAUGAAAAAUGUGUAGAAGACGAAAAAAUAGCUUAUUGUCGCACAGAAACAAGAGAUUCGAGUGACAACUUUCAAUUGAUUCUGGGACUGGGAGUCGGAAUAACGCUAUUGACCAUUGCUAUUUUCAUUGGAAUCAUGGUUUUUUGCUACUUUCGAAGAAGGCGACACUUCAAAGAUACAUCGUUAUCGUCUUCUGAUGUUAAUUUUGAGAAUACGUCUGACGAACAAGGAAUGUACUUUGUUUCGGGAAUGCCGACUAAGAUCGACAGCUGGGGUCGGUAUGGGUCUCCAUAUUCUCCGCAUCAUAUUUGGUCAGAAGAACCCGAAGGCGGCAGAGCAAGGGAUGGAUUUGAUGACUCUAAUAUUAUAUAUAUAAGAGACCCUAACAGUUAUGACAAUGCUGAACAGUCAAACUUUUCAUGGGAUUUCAUGUGUCAAACUUUACAACCAAACGAAGAGUUUAAAAUAAAACGCCCGGAAGUUAGCACAACGCCACUGAAUCCCGAGUGAUAAUGCUGAAAAUAGGAAUUGUUCAACCUUUCCUUAUAAACUGCAGCAUGAUCUAAUUUGCUCAAUUAUAUCAUCAGUGAUAAAUUUGUCUGUUUUAUGUCAUAAAACCAUUUAAAUACAUAUCAUAAAAAAAUUGGGACAGAAAAAUGUAUUUUUGAAUAAUAGUGCAAUGGAAAACAUGACUUAUUAGUAAAAAAUAGAUAUGAAUGGAAUAUGUAAACUAAAACUUUUGAAUAUAUAACCCACUUGUAUACAAAAAGUUUGAUUAGAAAAGCAAAUAAACAUGAAAGUAGGUAUUUAUAAUUUUUUAUUAUGUAGUUAGACAUGUGACAUCCCAGGUGCAUUUAAAAAGGAGAUGCUUAUAUUAAUUGUAUAUUGCAUAUUUGAUGAUCUUGUGUCUGUGAUGCUAUUAUAUAUUUACUUUUUAAUACUAUACUUGUUAUUAUAUAGUUAUUAUAUAUACAAUGUCAUAUUAAAACCAUUU
rnacentral:misc_RNA from 1 species